rnacentral:rRNA from 1 species
GACGAACGCUGGCGGCGUGCCUAAUACAUGCAAGUAGAACGCUGAAGGAGGAGCUUGCUUCUCUGGAUGAGUUGCGAACGGGUGAGUAACGCGUAGGUAACCUGCCUGGUAGCGGGGGAUAACUAUUGGAAACGAUAGCUAAUACCGCAUAAGAGUAGAUGUUGCAUGACAUUUGCUUAAAAGGUGCAAUUGCAUCACUACCAGAUGGACCUGCGUUGUAUUAGCUAGUUGGUGAGGUAACGGCUCACCAAGGCAACGAUACAUAGCCGACCUGAGAGGGGGAUCGGCCACACUGGGACUGAGACACGGCCCAGACUCCUACGGGAGGCAGCAGUAGGGAAUCUUCGGCAAUGGACGGAAGUCUGACCGAGCAACGCCGCGUGAGUGAAGAAGGUUUUCGGAUCGUAAAGCUCUGUUGUAAGAGAAGAACGAGUGGGGGAGUGGAAAGUUCACACUGUGACGGUAUCUUACCAGAAAGGGACGGCUAACUACGUG